UCAUCAUCAAAGUAUUUGGUAUGAGAGUGGCAGUCACAUCUAACUACAAAAGAGCCAUCUCCAUCAUAUUUCAACAAAAAACCAAAUACGUUGCCACAUGAUCCUGUGAUAGCGACAAUGUCUCACACUGCCACCUUGAAAGCCAAUAGUUGGACUGGAGAAUAAUGUCCUGGGUAUUGCCAAAUCUGUAACUAAAAAGUACUCUGAUGUUAUACAAAUAUUUAAGAAACUAAUAAUCAUGUAAUGAAGACCUUGAUGUUCUUCAGCCAAUAGCAAAGCUUUAGACUCCAGUGCUCAUUGUUGAGCGAGUGAGUGUGCUGCCAAAUUUAGGCCUUCUGAUGUUUACAAAGUUACCAUGGUAAAAAGCAAGAGAACCAACCUACAUUUGUUCAGGAAUUAAAGCAAUUAAAUGGUUUGGGGCACAUGUGAGUAUAGCUGCUCUGAAAAUGAGUGUCUUCACUGCUACAUUUGGAAAGUACUCAUUGCUUACUGCAUUUGGGAAGCUAGCAAGUAUGUGAUGCAACUGGCAACAUCAGUCAGAGAGAUCAUUCACCUCUGUUGAAUCAUUUAUUUCAAUAUAACAACACAACACCUUAUUAUGCUGAGCAUCACCACACUGAACUAAACUGAUCUAAAAUUAAAUCGAAGUCUUUGUGCAUGGUAAUGGAGGAUUAUAUUAUACAGAUACAUUACCUAAAUCGUUCGCCAGGCUGCUCAAGCGGUGGUGGUGUACAAACCGUAGAGUUGAGUUGUUGCGUGUGUGCGGGGAUUUGAUCGGUGGGGCGACCACGGCAUCAUCAAGCUGAAAAAAAUAUAACAGGCCCCUAACCGAGAAACAAUAGUCAUAUGAUGAAAUCUAUUAGCACCAUUCAAUCACGAAAAGAAAAGGCGUCAGAUGGUAUCUGCGGUUGCAUGAGAGGAAAAAAAAAAGGAAAUCCAAGCAGCAAUUGGAGCUCGGGCAGAGACCAAACUUAUAUCUAAUCCGACCGAGCUGGAGCACUGUUUGUGCCUACACAUGGACAGGAAAAAAGACCAAGACUUUGAUGCCUAUGGGUUCUUAAAAUUCUCACAGUGAAUUGGAUGGAGUAUAUAUCUAGUAGGAUCAAAUUAACUGAAUUAUUGGUUGUGCAGGAUUAAUCAAUUAACACUCAUCGUGGAUUGGAUGGAUGGAUAUAUCAAUAUCAACUAUGCACAAUAGAGAAAGGUCCGUCAAAAUAAACCAUGAAAUUACUGAAAAGUUUGUCAAUGCUAAUAAACACGAAAGUUCACCACCGG
rnacentral:lncRNA from 1 species